rnacentral:misc_RNA from 1 species
GAUAAACAUCUGAAUACUACAGUGACUUAAUACUACAGUGACUUAAUUCAACAGGCGGCUGAGGAUGGCGUGUACGGAACGGGAAUCAAGUGCAGAUCAUUUUUCCUUCUAACUGUAGCGCCAAAAGACUCGAUCAUAUCUAGAGUUUCUGCCUUCAAUCCACUUGCAAGUUUCCAAUCAAAAUGAUAAAGAAACUGUGCAAGUGGAAGCUCAACAUUAGCUAU